GUGCUGGCUUUAAAAGUGCUGUUACUGUCAGAAAAAUCCUAACUGCAGCAUAAAAAUGCCCCUUUUGCCUCUGCCUCCCAGCUCCUUUUUGGACCCAGUCCUCCUGAUUUUUAUUGGCAGCCCCGGUUUGCAGUCCUGCCAGAACCCUGAGGACUAUGGGUUGUGCUGUGCCUCAUGCAUCAGUGACAAAAUUGUCCUCUGAGCUCUGUACCUGUAACAGAGUCAGAUGUCAUCGGCAGAAAGAUCCCAUCUUGGACUCCUGCUCCCUUAGCCAGAGACACAUAGAGCCCACACACCUGCAAUGACCAAGGAACCUCUGAAUCCUGGGGCUGAUGCUUGCCCGUUCUACUGAGGAUGGCACCACACCCCAGUUUCCCACUAGGAAGAAGACUGACCCGAGACAUUCCUGGACAGUGAUCCUGAUGUCUCUUCUAUGCAGACCAUUCAAGUGUGAGAUAAGUGAGUAAGUUACAAUCCCUGUUGAGGCCUCUGUCGCCAUCUUGUCCCUAAUUCUGUCAUUUGGGCCCCCUAGUCUGAACCAGCCACAGAGAUUGGAUGUUCUGAGUUCUAGUACUGUCUGAUUCUGCCACCCAUAGACCAAUGCAUGGUGAAUGAGAGGCCCUUGUACCUUUCCCAUCUCAGAGGUGGGAAGCAGUUGAACCUGGGCCAAGAAUAUUCUAAGUCUAGAAAUGAGUGGCUUUGGGAUCUCAAAUGGAGUCAAACACCUAGACCCAGCCUCUAGCAGACCCAAAGGUGAGGAUUUCUACUUGUAGAUGAGAGCUUAAAAUCAAGUGUUAGGGCUUAGUUACCUCUUAUCCUAGGUCGUUAUGAUCAGAUUUGUCUCUGUAGGAUCUCUUGGGUGUUUUUGGUAGCUGCAGUGAUCCGUGAGUGCUGGAUAUUAGGAAAUGAUUUGUUUUACCGGGUGACUCUCAAAAGGGACCAUGUUUCUGCACGUAGUAUCUUAUAGACAUCCUGUCCCUGAGAAGAAGAGAAGGCCUGAGGCAGAGCUAACCAGCGAGAGGUCUGCGAUGGUUUUCUCAUCAGAGGAUAGGUUAUCUGGGUUGUCCUCUUAGCUGUUGCCCAGACUGUCCACAUCCAAGUUCUACCCCAGGCUCUGAUUAAAAUAUCUCAUUCCAUAAAGCAUGGUAAGGCCAUGACUUUUGUGUCUCUAAAUGGGGAGUGGAACAAGUAAAGUGGGAUAAGGAGGAAUAGAUCUAUGAUAUAACUUCAUCCUACUUCAGGGAUGACUCUAGCUUUUCAGUCCUCAGUUUUUAUUGGUGGCUCUAGGCCCCCAAAAGCCAAAUA
rnacentral:lncRNA from 1 species